rnacentral:rRNA from 1 species
UACGUAGGGGGCGAGCGUUGUCCGGAUUUAUUGGGCGUAAAGAGCGUGUAGGCGGCCAGGUAGGUCUGCUGUGAAAACUCGAGGCUCAACCUCGAGAUGUCGGCGGAAACCACUUGGCUAGAGUCCGGAAGAGGAGAGUGGAAUUCCCGGUGUAGCGGUGAAAUGCGCAGAUAUCGGGAAGAACACCUAUGGCGAAGGCAGCUCUCUGGGACGGUACUGACGCUGAGACGCGAAAGCGUGGGGAGCGAACAGG